UAGAUAAAGAACCAAUAUUUUUGGUGACUCAUAAUAACUUUACGGAUCACAUUAUGUGACAUAUCAUUCAAGUUUUGACCUAUCAGCUUUAGACGGUAGGGUAUUGGCCUACCGUGGCUAUGACGGGUAACGGGGAAUUAGGGUUCGAUUCCGGAGAGGGAGCCUGAGAAACGGCUACCACAUCUAAGGAAGGCAGCAGGCGCGCAAAUUACCCAAUCCUAAUACAGGGAGGUAGUGACAAGAAAUAACAAUACAGAACCUUACGGUUUUGUAAUUGGAAUGAGUUAAGUAUAAACCCCUUAACAAGUAUCAAUUGGAGGGCAAGUCUGGUGCCAGCAGCCGCGGUAAUUCCAGCUCCAAUAGCGUAUAUUAAAGUUGUUGCAGUUAAAAAGCUCGUAGUUAAUCUUCUGUUAAUUUUUAUAUAUAAUAUCUCGAUAUUUAUAUAAUAUUAACAUAAUUCAUAUUACUUUUUAGUAUAUGAAACUUUACUUUGAGAAAAUUAGAGUGCUUAAAGCAGGCUAUUGCCUUGAAUACUCCAGCAUGGAAUAAUAUUAAGGAUUUUUAUUCUUCUUAUUGGUUCUAGAAUAAAAAUGAUGAUUAAUAGGAACAGUUGGGGGCAUUUGUAUUUAACAGUCAGAGGUGAAAUUCUUAGAUUUGUUAAAGACAAACUACUGCGAAAGCAUUUGCCAAGGAUGUUUUCAUUAAUCAAGAACGAAAGUUAGGGGAUCGAAGACGAUCAGAUACCGUCGUAGUCUUAACCAUAAACUAUGCCAACUA
rnacentral:rRNA from 1 species